ACCCCUUUUCCUAAAUUACCCCUUUACAGCUAACCAAAGGACAAAAUUCAACAUUUUUUUAAUAAUUAUUGAUCUAGAGAGUCCACAGAAUAUUACUGCAGUGGUUUGGUUCCGAUCGGACAAAAAACCUAGGACUAGUUCGCAAAAGUAGGUUUUUAACAUAUUUGUGAAUAACAAUUGAACGAUUUGAUUGACAGCAAUGGUUCUUGAGGCAAAGUUGUGCAUUAUGAGGAGAUCUAUCAAAUGAUAUGCAUAUUGUGUUGAUAUGUGAAACACCACGUGAUUACAGAGCCAUAAAACUCGUUAGCGCCAACUAGUGGCCGAUUUCUUUCAAAAUUCUUACAGACCUUAAGGUUCAUGAGUUGAACGUACCCAGUGAGUUUCGUUCCGAUCAACAUCCGUUAACCCUUUCAAAUAGGUGCUUAAAAUUGUUUGGCCAAUGGCAGCCAUGUUUUUUGAGAUAUGCAAAUGUCCUCAUAGGUACUUGUGCCCCUUCAGACCAAGACACUGCAUACCAAUUUUCAAGUCGAUCGAGCCAACGGUUGCCUAGUUAUAGCCAUUUAUGUGUUUUUUCUAUCUUAUUGCGCCCCCAAGUGGCAGAGAUGCGCAAUUUUUUUUGUUUGACCAAAGAUUGAGCUCAUACAUAUAUGUACCGAGUUUGGUGAAGAUAUCUCAUUCCGUUCAAGAGUUAUAGUCAAAAUAGCAUUUGGCUAACGUUAGCAUAGACACUUUUUGGUGUACUGUUUCGCAUAAGAAUUGAAAUUUCAACUUUUUUUUGAUAAUUAUUGAUAUUGAGUGUCCAGGGAAUAUUUAUGAAGCGGUUUGGUUCUGAUUGGUUGAAAAUCCUAGGACUAGUUCGCAAAAGUAGGUUUCGGAUAUAGCUCGAUUUUGCGAGAAAACGGUGCGUCGUAGACCCCAAAAAGGCGCCGUGCACUUUUGUUCGUGCUAACCCAAGGAUUGCAACAAUGGCAUGUUUUUGAGUCUACGGCUAACGGUUUAAGUUUUACGCCCAAAAUUGUCCAAAAUUUUUGUUUUUUGCGCUGUAGCGCCCCCGUUAGGCUGAUUGGGCCGGUUCUUUGUAUCUGAGUAGCGAGCAAGACUACUACCAUCUGACCAAGUUUCAGCUUUCUAGGCCUUACGGUUUGGGCUGCACGUUCAGUUUUAAGGCGGAAGAAUAAUAAUAAUAAUAAUAAUAAUAAUAAUAAAAAUCCUAACAAAUACAAUAGGGUUUCAGCACUGCGUGCUUGAACCCCUAAUAAUAAUUAAAGCUGCAAGCAGCAUUUACGGGGUUCAAGCAUUUAAGGCAUCUUAGGUGGUCAGAGCCAACCUGGACGUAUGGAUGACCGUUAAACACAUCAAAAAUGGAGAAUAGGCUAA